rnacentral:rRNA from 1 species
UACGAAGGGGGCUAGCGUUGCUCGGAAUCACUGGGCGUAAAGCGCACGUAGGCGGAUUGUUAAGUCAGGGGUGAAAUCCUGGAGCUCAACUCCAGAACUGCCUUUGAUACUGGCGAUCUUGAGUCCGGGAGAGGUGAGUGGAACUGCGAGUGUAGAGGUGAAAUUCGUAGAUAUUCGGAAGAACACCAGUGGCGAAGGCGACAUACUGGUCCGUUACUGACACUGAGGCUCGAAAGCGUGGGGAGCAAACAGG